UACGUAGGGGGCAAGCGUUGUCCGGAAUCAUUGGGCGUAAAGAGCGUGUAGGCGGCCCGAUAAGUCCGCUGUGAAAGUCCAGGGCUCAACCCUGGGAUGCCGGUGGAUACUGUCGGGCUCGAGUCCGGAAGAGGAGUGUGGAAUUCCUGGUGUAGCGGUGAAAUGCGCAGAUAUCAGGAGGAACACCAAUGGCGAAGGCAGCACUCUGGGGCGUGACUGACGCUGAGACGCGAAAGCGUGGGGAGCAAACAGG
rnacentral:rRNA from 1 species